rnacentral:lncRNA from 10 species
CAUACGUCUAGUGCCACAGAAAUUUCUUGUAUUUUUUAGUCCUAAGCAAAACAUCCUUCAUUAUGUCCUCAACUUUUAUCCAAUGUAGAAACAAAAAGUAGACUGAAUUCCAUUACUGCAUCUGCUGUAAAAUGAUGUUGAAGGCACUUUUAUUUUUAUUUUUAUUUUUUAUUUUUUGACAGGUUCUGGCUCUGUCGGCCAGGCUGGAGUGCAGUGGUGUGAUCGCCUCUCGCUGCAACCUCUGCAUCUCAGGCUCAAAUGAUCCUCCCACCUCAGCCUCCUGAGUAGCUGGGAUCACAGGCACACACCACCACACCUGGGUAAUUUUUGUAUUUUUAGUAGAGAUGGGUGUUUCUAUGUUGGCCAGGCUGGUCUUGAACACCUGACAUCAAGUGAUCCACCCAACUUGACCUCCCAGAAUGCUGGGAUUACAGGUGUGAGCCACCAUGCACAGCCCACUUUUUAUUCUAUCUUUUGUAAAGUUCCAUGCAGGAAAAUUUUCCUGAAGUUUACUACAAGGAAAACUUUGCUUCCUUUGUAUCUUUCCUCUUUUCUGAUAAUGAUGUACAUGUUGACUGCUGGGUGUUGUGAUUUUUAUUGUUAUGGUUUCUUUCUAAUUUGGUCUUGUGGUCACCAGAGGGAGGGUAAAUCUGGAGGUGACAGGGAGUUCAGCCAGUGGAAGGGGGUCAAGGAAGGGGCACUUGUGGAGCUAAAGCCUCUGUUGGGGUCCAGCGUGUUACCCAAGCAGUUUCCCAUGGAAGUUCUAAUUGGUGAGUUUAGAACAAGCAGGCACAAGUUCCAUGGAGUCACCCUGUCACUGUGAGGUGGUCACUGGAGCCCAUCUACACAGUCCAUGUGGGUUAUGGAGGUCAACAGGUGAGUCAAGCAGGCUGCAUUUACCUGUCCCAUAGGGAGAUGGUCACCAGGAAGCAGUUGCAUUAAGCAGAUAUCUGGAUGGAUCACAUUGAAGAACUGGGAGGAAGCAGAGAACUGGAAACUGUAUCAAAGGACAAGAACUCUGGCAAAGGUGCC